AAUGAACGCUGGCGGCGUGCCUAAUACAUGCAAGUCGAGCGAACAGACGAGGAGCUUGCUCCUCGGACGUUAGCGGCGGACGGGUGAGUAACACGUGGAUAACCUACCUAUAAGACUGGGAUAACUUCGGGAAACCGGAGCUAAUACCGGAUAAUAUAUUGAACCGCAUGGUUCAAUAGUGAAAGACGGUUUUGCUGUCACUUAUAGAUGGAUCCGCGCCGCAUUAGCUAGUUGGUAAGGUAACGGCUUACCAAGGCAACGAUGCGUAGCCGACCUGAGAGGGUGAUCGGCCACACUGGAACUGAGACACGGUCCCGACUCCUACGGGAGGCAGCAGUAGGGAAUCUUCCGCAAUGGGCGAAAGCCUGACGGAGCAACGCCGCGUGAGUGAUGAAGGUCUUCGGAUCGUAAAACUCUGUUAUUAGGGAAGAACAAAUGUGUAAGUAACUAUGCACGUCUUGACGGUACCUAAUCAGAAAGCCACGGCUAACUACGUG
rnacentral:rRNA from 1 species